rnacentral:rRNA from 1 species
UACGUAGGGUGCGAGCGUUAAUCGGAAUUACUGGGCGUAAAGCGUGCGCAGGCGGUUUUGUAAGCCAGGUGUGAAAUCCCCGGGCUUAACCUGGGAAUGGCAUUUGGGACUGCAAAGCUUGAGUGCGGCAGAGGGGACUGGAAUUCCUGGUGUAGCAGUGAAAUGCGUAGAGAUCAGGAGGAAUACCGAUGGCGAAGGCAGGUCCCUGGGCUGACACUGACGCUCAUGCACGAAAGCGUGGGGAGCAAACAGG